rnacentral:ncRNA from 1 species
AGGGCAGUAUCUUUGUCGAAAAGAACUGCACCGCGCCGGCAAAAUGAAUGAAUAAAGAUAAUCUGCCUUGAUCCUUGCAGAAGGACUGGGACAGAGGG